CUCCUGUAUUCCAUCGCUGUGAGAAGUGCAGGCAGAGUAGACGGGGGAGCGGCAGCAAUUGACUCACUACAGUGAAGACACCGCGGACUGACAGUGGACUCUGUGCUCUACAAGACACAAAAGAAGAAUAUAGUCCCUGAUAUGAUGAGCAUGCAAUCAAAAUAUGCUGUGGAAUAUGUAAUAUGUUCGACUAUCACCAUCUCUCUGCGUGAUGGAAGACAAGGCAGAACUGGGCUGCAGAAAAUAGAGAAUCCCAUUCAAAGUAGCUGAGUAAAGCUGUGACCAGCCUUUGUGUUGUUCCAAGCAACAAUGACUCUUGUCACUGGCCUACACAUCUCGAGAGAGAAGGGACAGAUCUAAAGCAGUGGCUCUCAACCUUUCUAGACUACUGUACCCCUUUCAGCAGUCUGAUUUGUCUUGCGUACCCC